ACUACCCCACAUUUAUAAUUUUUUUUUGUUAUAGAUGGCCUUUGAGAGUUUACCGGUGGAUUUUUUUCCAUUGGUUCUCCUUAAUAUAAUCUGGCAGAAGGAAUUGACUGUAUGUUCGUAGAUGCCCAUUAAACCUUUUAAUUGAAAGAUUUUUUUGGGCGCUUAAAGUCUGCGUGCAACUACACAGUUGAAACUGGAGGCCACUCAAAUAAAAUUUUAAA
rnacentral:misc_RNA from 1 species